UCAAAAUAGUGUCUUACAUUGUCUUUAAAAGAAAGAGCACCCUCUUCGAUUUCCAUUAUCCAAAACCAAGAUGUUUUCUUCCUAAAACAAACUACUGACAAUGAAAACAUUGUCUCAAUUAUGUUUGUACGGCUCACAACACUAUUUGUCGGUUGCAACGAGGGCCCCAUUCCUUUAUGAUAUUGCAUUAGCAGCCUGUUGAUAUGAAAUAAAACUCCAUGAUUAUCCGAAAAAAAUAAUGUUCAUGCAAAUGCCAUCUCGUGAAAGCACGUAUAGAAUAUCCAAACCAAGCUACCUCGGAGACUUCCUCUUGACGACUCGCGCAAAAGACGCCUCAGAGUUAAGGGCCCCUCGUGCACAUCUCGUAUUUUGGCGAAAAAUCUCGUAGACCCCGCCGCAAAGUCCGACCGCAAGCGCGCGAGCAAGCAAAGCCAAAGCCGAAGCCGGUGGACGGUGGUGACCGUCCCAGAGACGGCAGGCGGCAGCAAGACGAGGCCACAGCUGCGCGCGAG
rnacentral:lncRNA from 1 species